rnacentral:rRNA from 1 species
UACAGAGGUCUCAACCGUUGUUCGGAUUCAUUGGGCGUAAAGGGUGCGUAGGCGGCGGGGUAAGUCAGGUGUGAAAUCUCGGGGCUCAACCCCGAAACUGCACUUGAUACUGCCUCGCUUGAGUACUGGAGAGGAGACUGGAAUUUACGGUGUAGCAGUGAAAUGCGUAGAUAUCGUAAGGAAGGCCGGUGGCGAAAGCGAGCCUCUGGACAGUUACUGACGCUGAUGCACGAAGGCCAGGGGAGCAAACGGG